rnacentral:tRNA from 4 species
GUACUCUUGGCCGAGCGGUUUAGGCAAUCGACUCAUAAUCGAUUUAAGGUAGGUUCAACUCCUACAGGGUGCA